AUUGAACGCUGGCGGCAGGCCUAACACAUGCAAGUCGAACGGUAACAGGAAGAAGCUUGCUUCUUUGCUGACGAGUGGCGGACGGGUGAGUAAUGUCUGGGAAACUGCCUGAUGGAGGGGGAUAACUACUGGAAACGGUAGCUAAUACCGCAUAACGUCGCAAGACCAAAGAGGGGGACCUUCGGGCCUCUUGCCAUCGGAUGUGCCCAGAUGGGAUUAGCUAGUAGGUGGGGUAACGGCUCACCUAGGCGACGAUCCCUAGCUGGCCUGAGAGGAUGACCAGCCACACUGGAACUGAGACACGGUCCAGACUCCUACGGGAGGCAGCAGUGGGGAAUAUUGCACAAUGGGCGGAAGCCUGAUGCAGCCAUGCCGCGUGUAUGAAGAAGGCCUUCGGGUUGUAAAGUACUUUCAGCGGGGAGGAAGGGAGUAAAGUUAAUACCUUUGCUCAUUGACGUUACCCGCAGAAGAAGCACCGGCUAACUCCGUG
rnacentral:rRNA from 1 species